AGUGAACGCUGGCGGUAGGCCUAACACAUGCAAGUCGAACGGCAGCACAGUAAGAGCUUGCUCUUACGGGUGGCGAGUGGCGGACGGGUGAGGAAUACAUCGGAAUCUACUUUUUCGUGGGGAUAACGUAGGGAAACUUACGCUAAUACCGCAUACGACCUACGGGUGAAAGCAGGGGAUCUUCGGACCUUGCGCGAUUGAAUGAGCCGAUGCCGGAUUAGCUAGUUGGCGGGGUAAAGGCCCACCAAGGCGACGAUCCGUAGCUGGUCUGAGAGGAUGAUCAGCCACACUGGAACUGAGACACGGUCCAGACUCCUACGGGAGGCAGCAGUGGGGAAUAUUGGACAAUGGGCGCAAGCCUGAUCCAGCCAUACCGCGUGGGUGAAGAAGGCCUUCGGGUUGUAAAGCCCUUUUGUUGGGAAAGAAAAGCAGCAGGUUAAUACCCCGCUGUUCUGACGGUACCCAAAGAAUAAGCACCGGCUAACUUCGUG
rnacentral:rRNA from 1 species